AAUCCCAAAAAGUGCGUCGUAGUCCGGAUUGGAGUCUGCAACUCGACUCCAUGAAGUCGGAAUCGCUAGUAAUCGUGGAUCAGAAUGCCACGGUGAAUACGUUCCCGGGCCUUGUACACACCGCCCGUCACACCAUGGGAGUGGGCUGCAAAAGAAGUAGGUAGUUUAACCUUCGGGGGGACGCUUACCACUUUGUGGUUCAUGACUGGGGUGAAGUCGUAACAAGGUAGCGCUAGGGGAACC
rnacentral:rRNA from 1 species